UACAGAGGGUGCAAGCGUUGUUCGGAAUUAUUGGGCGUAAAGGGCGCGUAGACGGUUCGGCAAGUCUCUAGUGAAAUCUCAGGGCUCAACUCUGAGUCUGCUGGGGAAACUGCCGGGCUUGAGUUGUGGGAGAGGGAGAGUGGAAUUCCCGGGUGUAGCGGUGAAAUGCGUAGAGUAUCGGGAGGAACACCUGUGGCGAAAGGCGGCUCUCUGGACCACAACUGAC
rnacentral:rRNA from 1 species